CCUAAAUACACUGUAGUGAAUCAUAUAAGGUGUUACCUUUAUGAAGUGUUUAUGUGCUGAGAGAAGGCAGGAGUCACGUACAGUCAAUAUCACCUUGGAAAAUAAAGCUCUUGAGAAGUUCAACAGUCUGUUAUCCUCUAGUAUUCGAAUUUCCUUCUUCCACCAUUCAGAAGCAGAGGUGGGAAUAUUUAACAGAAAAGAACAGUAACAAGUAACUGUAUCUUCAUCAAAGGAACAUGACAGAGCUUCAAAAAAGAGAAGAAAACUAAGAUAAAGGGAAAGAGGAAAAGUGCAUUAAAAAGAGAGGACUGAAAUAAAGUGUGAAUAACUCAUGAUUUCAAAAAAGAAAAAUCUAAAUCUUUAAGUUUCCUUACCUCU